rnacentral:rRNA from 1 species
AUUGAACGCUGGCGGCAUGCCUUACACAUGCCAGUCGAACGGCAGCACGGGUGCUUGCACCUGGUGGCGAGUGGCGAACGGGUGAGUAAUACAUCGGAACAUGUCCUGUAGUGGGGGAUAGCCCGGCGAAAGCCGGAUUAAUACCGCAUACGAUCUACGGAUGAAAGCGGGGGACCUUCGGGCCUCGCGCUAUAGGGUUGGCCGAUGGCUGAUUAGCUAGUUGGUGGGGCAAAGGCCUACCAAGGCGACGAUCAGUAGCUGGUCUGAGAGGACGACCAGCCACACUGGGACUGAGACACGGCCCAGACUCCUACGGGAGGCAGCAGUGGGGAAUUUUGGACAAUGGGCGAAAGCCUGAUCCAGCAAUGCCGCGUGUGUGAAGAAGGCCUUCGGGUUGUAAAGCACUUUUGUCCGGAAAGAAAUCCUUGGCCCUAAUACGGUCGGGGGAUGACGGUACCGGAAGAAUAAGCACCGGCUAACUACGUG